rnacentral:misc_RNA from 1 species
AAUGGCCAGUGCCAUGGCUGUGGAGUUCAUACUUGCCAAGAUGGGAGCCGCUAUGUUGGGGAGUUCAAGUGGGGUGUCAAGCAUGGAAUGGGUCACUACCAUUUUAGAAAUGGAGACACAUAUGCAGGAGAGUAUUUUGCAGACAAGAUGCACGGUUUUGGAGUUUAUCGCUUUGGCAAUGGACAUUGUUAUGAGGGAGCUUGGCAUGAAGGAAAUAGGCAAGGACUUGGUAUGUACACUUUUAGGAACG